GUCUAUUGAGCGCUAAAACAACAAAUUUCCUUAACAGUUCCAUCGCGCAUAUCACUCUCGCUCAAACCCUAAUAAGCGAAAAACUCCCAAAAGAACAACUUCUCCUCUGCGAAUCUGAAACUCUCAAUUGUGUAUUUUCCAUUGAUAUUCAGUGGCAAAAAAGGACUCAAUUUCACUUCAUGUGCUGGAAUUUCGAAGGGGUAUACUGCUCAAUUUUAUGCUGAAACUUUCGAGGUAUUGUUGCACAGUAGCGCGCUCUGAAUGAAUCCUUAUCAACAUAUCCAGAAUAUUUGAGAAACAAAACUCCCAUGAUGAAGACUGUGACUGCCUAAUUAAGCUAGUCUACUAUAGACCGUGCUGUAUUGGUUUUGACGGAUGAGACAACCAGUUUUAACCAAUUGACACGAACCAUUUACCUCCAAUCACUACUACAAAAGCCUACGUUUCUGGACGCCUGGAGCUCGACACCUGGGUAUGAGCGUUGGGGAAAAAAAUUAAUUUCCGUUAUUUCACGACGCCUUUCAUCGUCUAGAACUUUCUCGACAAUUUUUGGCGUCGAGAGUACACGUGAAACCCACGUGAUAGCUGGCUACUCAGAUAGUCAGAUCUAAUGUUAGCCCGCAACUUUCCGUUCUUUGGAAAAUAAAAACCGCCUCGUUGAAUAGCCCUCACCGCCUCUCACCUCUUGCUAAAAAAUCUCAAAUCUACUCUCUUCUCAUUGGAAUGUUAAGAGCUCUCCUUCACGUAUCUUCCUCAUUUGUGUUCUCCUUGUGAUUGUAUAUCUCUUUUUCACCUUCAAUCAAUGGGUUUAGGGUCUUGUGAAAGGUAGUUAAAGAAACUUGUGUUUCUUCUGAAGUAAAACCAUCUUAAUCUUUGAUGGUUUUGUUUAUCGGGCAUCGGUUGUGGACUACUCUGCUAAACCACUUGAGACUAGGAUGCCUUUUCGUGCCUUUAUUGAUGCUAGCCUUAUAAGGACACCUAUCGCAACUGAGUUUUUGGUGCUUUCAAGGUUUUUGCUUUGAGGGAUGCUGGGGAGUAGGCUGAAAAUGCAACUGCUUAUGUGACUUUGGAACCCUGCAAUCAUUAUGGAAAAACUCCUCCCUGUUCUGAGGCUUUGAUCAAAGCCAAAGUGAAGAGAGUUGUGGUUGGCAUGGUGGAUCCAAACCCCAUUAUUUCAUCUAGGGGGAUUACUAGGCUUCAAGAAGCAGGCAUUGAAGUAGUUGUUGGAGUUGAGGAAGAUUUAUGCAACAAGCUCAAUGAAGCAUUUAUUCACAAAAUGAUUUCUGGGAAGCCUUUUGUUACUCUCGGGUAAAGCUUAUUGUUUCGUUUAAUUCACUACUACAAAACAAGGUGUUUCACUCUGAUAUCUUCGAUUUUAUCUUCUUCACAAUGAGUCACAGUGGUGGGAACAAGACUGAAUGUAGCUAGAAAUUGCUGAGAUUUUGAAGCGUAUAAUCCUCAAUUGUCUGCUGAAAUAUCUAGGCUAGAGUUUUUCGAUCAUGAUGAGAAGUUGGCAUUGUUCUACUUUAAUUUACCUUAAAGAUACUCUUGUUUGAACAUCAAUUCAACUGCUUCUUUUGCUGAAAGUAUCUCAAGCAUAUUCAGGCAUAGCUCAACUGCUCACGAGGAUAGAUCGUACAACGUGAUAAAGGAGAAACGAAAGAAUGAAGCAACUUGGAACACUUGAGUCUACUACGAACAAUCGUCUAUAAAUAUAUAGCUAGUUCCUAGUUACUUAAUCUAGGCUUUAUUUUCUUUUACGUACUAUGAAUUUUAGUUUUUCUAGGCUUUAUUUUCUUUUACGUACUGUGAAUUUUAGUUUCUCUAGGCUUUAUUUUCUUUUACGUACUAUGAAUUUUAGUUUUUCUAGGCAUUAUUUUCUUUUACGUACUGUGUAUUUUAGUUUCUCUAGGCUUUAAAUAUAUUAGUAAUAUAAAUGUGUGCACGUACUAUGGAUUUUACUA